rnacentral:rRNA from 1 species
AUUAGAUUAGCUAGUUGGUGGAGUAAUAGCCUACCAAGGCAAUGAUCUAUAGCUGAUCUGAGAGGAUGAUCAGCCACACUGGAACUGAGAUACGGUCCAGACUCCUACGGGAGGCAGCAGUGGGGAAUAUUGGACAAUGGGCGAAAGCCUGAUCCAGCUAUGCCGCAUGAGUGAAGAAGGCCUUUGGGUUGUAAAGCUCUUUUAGUGAAGAAGAUAAUGACGGUACUCACAGAAGAAGUCCUGGCUAACUCCGUGCCAGCAGCCGCGGUAAUACGGAGAGGGCUAGCGUUAUUCGGAAUUAUUGGGCGUAAAGGGCGCGUAGGCUGAUUAAUAAGUUAAAAGUGAAAUCCCGAGGCUUAACCUUGGAAUUGCUUUUAAAACUAUUAAUCUAGAGAUUGAAAGAGGAUAGAGGAAUUCCUGAUGUAGAGGUAAAAUUCGUAAAUAUUAGGAGGAACACCAGUGGCGAAGGCGUCUAUCUGGUUCAAAUCUGACGCUGAGGCGCGAAGGCGUGGGGAGCAAACAGGAUUAGAUACCCUGGUAGUCCACGCUAUAAACGAU